rnacentral:tRNA from 1 species
UGGAAUGUAGCUCAGUCGGUAGAGCAGGUGGCUGUUAACCACCUUGUCGCAGGUUCGAUCCCUGCCGUUCCAG